rnacentral:lncRNA from 1 species
AGUGAAUACUCUCUGUGGGCCUACUAUGUGCCAGGCAUUAUGCACCAGACGAAAACAUAUCUUCUUGAGAAGCCAGUGCUAAGUCACUGUUCUUGUUCAUAUUUGGAUCCCUUCCCUUUUCAGGUUGGUUCAUUAACGGAAAUAUUAACAGCAACUUAUAUGUACUUCUCCACUUGUUGCUCCAAGAGAUUUACAGCCUCUUUUUCUGUCUUCAGAUACUACUUUGAAAACAAGAUGAAAGCCAUGGAAUCUCCCGAGAAAAAUGUACAUCUUACAGACUUUCAGUGAGUUCUGGAAUACCAGGAACCAGAGCCCACACUAAUGAACAGCAGUUUCCUAACCUAAUGCGAGAGAUUUGAGAUUUCUUCUGGCUCCCAUGAUCUUCUAAUUGUCUUCUUAGCAAGACUAAACACAUCUCCAAGAAAUGUGCACUGCCAUGAAUGUCUUCCAGCUAUCUUCUAUGACAGCACUUCCCAGUGUGUUCUGUGGAAUAAUGGUACAGGGUGAUAUUCUAUGAAGAAAAAUACGGAAAGUAAUAUACUCCACAGUCCGUAUAUUAGAUCGGACUAAUAAAAAUAAAUAUGGAAAGUAAUAUAUUCCACAGUCAUAUAUUAGAUCGCCUACACAACAGCAAUUUGAUAUAGUUUAAUAGGAUUUGAAUGAAUAAAAUUAAUGCCCACAGCUACUUUCUUCUGCCGGUAAAUAUUUUUCUGCCCAUAAUCUUGCUAAACAGAAUUCAUCUGAACUUACGUUGUUGCCAACAAAUAUACGAACAAU